CUUAAGAUCUUGAACCAGACUUCUUUGAAUCCUUAGACCACUAUUCCUCAUGUUUCCUUGAGAUCUUAAAAUAUAAAAAGGAAACUGUUGGCAGGACACUUAUGGAGAUCCUUCCAUAGACCCAUGAUGUUGUUACAAUUGAACUGCUGUCCUGCGAUAUCUUCUAGUUUUCUUUGGUGUGUUUUGAUUCAGAGGUCCUUGCAGAUUCACAUAGGUUGCUUUUGGGGUAUUGACUGUCAUACAUGAAGACAGCCAGCCACCAGAUCCAAAUGGCCCUGCACCUUUAACCAUUUUGCAUUGAUAUUAUACUGGAAGGUUACAUCAUCAGGAUGCUCAAAGUCAAUCUCAGGUCUUUUAUUUGAACUGAUGCUUUUCUUCUGGAUUAUCAUAAAAGACUGAAGAGGACCUCUAACUUCAUUCAGAUGGUGAUGUUUAACCUCAGAAUUGGUUGUCUAUGGAUUUUAUUUAAGGUAUCAAUUUUUUAUUUCAUUGUAUAGUUUUGUUUGCUUCCACAAA